UAGUCUGCAACUCGACUACAUGAAGCUGGAAUCGCUAGUAAUCGCAGAUCAGAAUGCUGCGGUGAAUACGUUCCCGGGUCUUGUACACACCGCCCGUCACACCAUGGGAGUCGGAAAUGCCCGAAGCCGGUGACCCAACCAAAAGGAGGGAGCCGUCGAAGGCAGGUCUGAUAACUGGGGUGAAGUCGUAACAAGGUAUC
rnacentral:rRNA from 1 species